CAUAUAGCUCAGUUGGUUCAGAGCAUCUGACUUACAUUCAGAAGGUCAUAGGUUCGAAUCCUAUUGUGGG
rnacentral:tRNA from 1 species